rnacentral:rRNA from 1 species
CCUACGGGAGGCAGCAGUGGGGGAUAUUGCACAAUGGGGGAAACCCUGAUGCAGCGACGCCGCGUGGGUGAAGAAGUAUUUCGGUAUGUAAAGCCCUAUCAGCAGGGAAGAAAGAAGACGGUACCUGACUAAGAAGCCCCGGCUAACUACGUGCCAGCAGCCGCGGUAAUACGUAGGGGGCGAGCGUUAUCCGGAUUCACUGGGUGUAAAGGGAGCGUAGACGGCGGUGCAAGCCAGGAGUGAAAGCCCGGGGCCCAACCCCGGGACUGCUCUUGGAACUGUGCGGCUGGAGUGCGGGAGGGGCAGGCGGAAUUCCUGGUGUAGCGGUGAAAUGCGUAGAUAUCAGGAGGAACACCGGCGGCGAAGGCGGCCUGCUGGACCGCGACUGACGUUGAGGCUCGAAAGCGUGGGGAGCGAACAGGAUUAGAUACCCUUGUAGUC